GUAAGCACAAAUAUUUUAAUUUUUUGAGUCAUAGCCACACACGUGCCAAUUCCGCAUCCAAUCCAUUUCGCUACGCACACUUAAGAUGGCGGCUACGUGAAAACAGCUGAUCGGUCCUGUGGCCCGCACUUGGUGUAUAUUUGUCCGUAACGUGAUUAGUUGAAAUCUCGCCGUACGCGGUACUUUCGCCCGAGAAGAAUUCUGGAAGCUGUGAACAUCAUGAAGACUGCGAAAGCGUAGUGCUCGGAUACGGAAGAAUCGAUGAAGGUUGGAAGGCAUCUCAACAGAUAGCUGGAAGACGGGAGGUGGAAAGUUGGGCGGCCUGGAGGGUCGAGUGCUCGCCGUGCUCGCCCAUACCGGCCCAGCUUCCGCCCCUGCGGAUUUUUUUCACGGCGAUGCUGAGGAGGACGCAGCCAGUAGUAGUGAGGAGUCCGCUGAAGUGCCCCCUGCCCCACCAGCAGCUGCGCGCGUCUCGGUGGGCACGGAGCCGGGGACCAGUGGCACUGCACCUCGGUAGCAGCCCCGCAGGCCACCCCGACUUCAGGUCCUUACGGACGCCGCAUCAAGGACGGCCGCGGACUAUGCCCGGCAGAGCCGGUUAGCUGAGGCGGCAAACGCGGAGGCCGCAAGCUUCCACCAGCAGUUGCUGCAGCAACAUCGGCAGCUGGUGGAAGAGCAGCGAGCGACGCGGCAAGUCCUCGAGCAGCUGGUGGCCGAGAUGCGUGGUUCGCGAGAGGCGACCACUCUCAUUGCGACCACGCUGCGCCAGCUGCUGGCUGCCCUCGCCCACCUGCGCGAGCCGCCUCAGCAUUAAGGGGCAGCUUUUUUUUUUUUGCCAUAUCAUCCUUUAGUGCUUUGUUAGGUACAAGUGUCGCCUAUCUAUGCAUGUUUUUUUUGUUUUUUUAUGCAGCACUAAAGGAUGAUAUGGCUGUUUUCCGUAAUUUCUGUCCCUAAUCAUAUUUUUUUUCCAAGGUAAUUUCUGUCAUGUUUAUUUUAAUAUGUAGUGCAAGUUUGCCCAAGUGAGGCAUUACGUAACUUAUAUGUAGACCUUUCGCGUUUCUGUUCGUUACCGUUUUUUUUCCCCAAGUUCCUUUAGUGUGUAUUGUUCUUUGUCCAAGUAAGGCGGUAUAAGUUAUAUUUACAAUUUUUGUCAUAUUUUUGGGUUUCUGUUCCUUACCGUAUUUUUUCCCCCUUUUUUUCCCCAAGUUCAUUUCAUGUGUAUUAUUCUUUGACCAAGUG